UACGGGGGGGGCAAGCGUUGUUCGGAAUUACUGGGCGUAAAGGGCUCGUAGGCGGCCAACUAAGUCAGACGUGAAAUCCCUCGGCUUAACCGGGGAACUGCGUCUGAUACUGGAUGGCUCGAGUUUGGGAGAGGGAUGCGGAAUUCCAGGUGUAGCGGUGAAAUGCGUAGAUAUCUGGAGGAACACCGGUGGCGAAGGCGGCAUCCUGGACCAACACUGACGCUGAUGAGCGAAAGCCAGGGGGAGCAAACGGG
rnacentral:rRNA from 1 species